UACAGAGGGUGCGAGCGUUAAUCGGAAUUACUGGGCGUAAAGCGUGCGUAGACGGUCGUUCAAGUCGCGUGUGAAAGCCCCCGGCUCAACUGGGGAGGGUCACGCGAUACUGAUCGACUCGAAGGCAGGAGAGGGUAGUGGAAUUCCCGGUGUAGUGGUGAAAUGCGUAGAUAUCGGGAGGAACACCAGUGGCGAAGGCGACUACCUGGCCUGUUUCUUGACGCUGAGGCGCGAAAGCUAGGGGAGCAAACGGG
rnacentral:rRNA from 1 species